rnacentral:rRNA from 1 species
AUUGAACGCUGGCGGCAUGCCUUACACAUGCAAGUCGAACGGUAACAGGUCUUCGGAUGCUGACGAGUGGCGAACGGGUGAGUAAUACAUCGGAACGUGCCUAGUAGUGGGGGAUAACUACUCGAAAGAGUGGCUAAUACCGCAUGAGAUCUACGGAUGAAAGCAGGGGAUCGCAAGACCUUGUGCUACUAGAGCGGCCGAUGGCAGAUUAGGUAGUUGGUGGGAGAAAAGCUUACCAAGCCGACGAUCUGUAGCUGGUCUGGGAGGACGAUCAGCCACACUGGGACUGAGACACGGCCCAGACUCCUACGGGAGGCAGCAGUGGGGAAUUUUGGACAAUGGGCGAAAGCCUGAUCCAGCAAUGCCGCGUGCAGGAUGAAGGCCUUCGGGUUGUAAACUGCUUUUGUACGGAACGAAAAGCCCCGGGUUAAUACCCUGGGGUCAUGACGGUACCGUAAGAAUAAGCACCGGCUAACUACGUGCCGGCCGCCGCGGUAA